rnacentral:rRNA from 1 species
ACCUGCAGUCGAGCGGAUGAGUGGAGCUUGCUCCAUGAUUCAGCGGCGGACGGGUGAGUAAUGCCUAGGAAUCUGCCUGGUAGUGGGGGACAACGUUUCGAAAGGAACGCUAAUACCGCAUACGUCCUACGGGAGAAAGUGGGGGAUCUUCGGACCUCACGCUAUCAGAUGAGCCUAGGUCGGAUUAGCUAGUUGGUGAGGUAAAGGCUCACCAAGGCGACGAUCCGUAACUGGUCUGAGAGGAUGAUCAGUCACACUGGAACUGAGACACGGUCCAGACUCCUACGGGAGGCAGCAGUGGGGAAUAUUGGACAAUGGGCGAAAGCCUGAUCCAGCCAUGCCGCGUGUGUGAAGAAGGUCUUCGGAUUGUAAAGCACUUUAAGUUGGGAGGAAGGGCAGUAAGUUAAUACCUUGCUGUUUUGACGUUACCAACAGAAUAAGCACCGGCUAACUUCGUGCCAGCAGCCGCGGUAAUACGAAGGGUGCAAGCGUUAAUCGGAAUUACUGGGCGUAAAGCGCGCGUAGGUGGUUCGUUAAGUUGGAUGUGAAAGCCCCGGGCUCAACCUGGGAACUGCAUCCAAAACUGGCGAGCUAGAGUAUGGCAGAGGGUGGUGGAAUUUCCUGUGUAGCGGUGAAAUGCGUAGAUAUAGGAAGGAACACCAGUGGCGAAGGCGACCACCUGGGCUAAUACUGACACUGAGGUGCGAAAGCGUGGGGAGCACAGGAUUAGAUACCCUGGUAGUCCACGCCGUAAACGAUG